GGUUAAGCGACUAAGCGUACACGGUGGAUGCCCUGGCAGUCAGAGGCGAUGAAGGACGUGCUAAUCUGCGAUAAGCGUCGGUAAGGUGAUAUGAACCGUUAUAACCGGCGAUUUCCGAAUGGGGAAACCCAGUGUGUUUCGACACACUAUCAUUAACUGAAUCCAUAGGUUAAUGAGGCGAACCGGGGGAACUGAAACAUCUAAGUACCCCGAGGAAAAGAAAUCAACCGAGAUUCCCCCAGUAGCGGCGAGCGAACGGGGAGCAGCCCAGAGCCUGAAUCAGUGUGUGUGUUAGUGGAAGCGUCUGGAAAGGCGCGCGAUACAGGGUGACAGCCCCGUACACAAAAAUGCACAUACUGUGAGCUCGAUGAGUAGGGCGGGACACGUGGUAUCCUGUCUGAAUAUGGGGGACCAUCCUCCAAGGCUAAAUACUCCUGACUGACCGAUAGUGAACCAGUACCGUGAGGGAAAGGCGAAAAGAACCCCGGCGAGGGGAGUGAAAAAGAACCUGAAACCGUGUACGUACAAGCAGUGGGAGCACGCUUAGGCGUGUGACUGCGUACCUUUUGUAUAAUGGGUCAGCGACUUAUAUUCUGUAGCAAGGUUAACCGAAUAGGGGAGCCGAAGGGAAACCGAGUCUUAACUGGGCGUUAAGUUGCAGGGUAUAGACCCGAAACCCGGUGAUCUAGCCAUGGGCAGGUUGAAGGUUGGGUAACACUAACUGGAGGACCGAACCGACUAAUGUUGAAAAAUUAGCGGAUGACUUGUGGCUGGGGGUGAAAGGCCAAUCAAACCGGGAGAUAGCUGGUUCUCCCCGAAAGCUAUUUAGGUAGCGCCUCGUGAAUUCAUCUCCGGGGGUAGAGCACUGUUUCGGCAAGGGGGUCAUCCCGACUUACCAACCCGAUGCAAACUGCGAAUACCGGAGAAUGUUAUCACGGGAGACACACGGCGGGUGCUAACGUCCGUCGUGAAGAGGGAAACAACCCAGACCGCCAGCUAAGGUCCCAAAGUCAUGGUUAAGUGGGAAACGAUGUGGGAAGGCCCAGACAGCCAGGAUGUUGGCUUAGAAGCAGCCAUCAUUUAAAGAAAGCGUAAUAGCUCACUGGUCGAGUCGGCCUGCGCGGAAGAUGUAACGGGGCUAAACCAUGCACCGAAGCUGCGGCAGCGACGCUUAUGCGUUGUUGGGUAGGGGAGCGUUCUGUAAGCCUGCGAAGGUGUGCUGUGAGGCAUGCUGGAGGUAUCAGAAGUGCGAAUGCUGACAUAAGUAACGAUAAAGCGGGUGAAAAGCCCGCUCGCCGGAAGACCAAGGGUUCCUGUCCAACGUUAAUCGGGGCAGGGUGAGUCGACCCCUAAGGCGAGGCCGAAAGGCGUAGUCGAUGGGAAACAGGUUAAUAUUCCUGUACUUGGUGUUACUGCGAAGGGGGGACGGAGAAGGCUAUGUUGGCCGGGCGACGGUUGUCCCGGUUUAAGCGUGUAGGCUGGUUUUCCAGGCAAAUCCGGAAAAUCAAGGCUGAGGCGUGAUGACGAGGCACUACGGUGCUGAAGCAACAAAUGCCCUGCUUCCAGGAAAAGCCUCUAAGCAUCAGGUAACAUCAAAUCGUACCCCAAACCGACACAGGUGGUCAGGUAGAGAAUACCAAGGCGCUUGAGAGAACUCGGGUGAAGGAACUAGGCAAAAUGGUGCCGUAACUUCGGGAGAAGGCACGCUGAUAUGUAGGUGAAGUCCCUCGCGGAUGGAGCUGAAAUCAGUCGAAGAUACCAGCUGGCUGCAACUGUUUAUUAAAAACACAGCACUGUGCAAACACGAAAGUGGACGUAUACGGUGUGACGCCUGCCCGGUGCCGGAAGGUUAAUUGAUGGGGUUAGCCGCAAGGCGAAGCUCUUGAUCGAAGCCCCGGUAAACGGCGGCCGUAACUAUAACGGUCCUAAGGUAGCGAAAUUCCUUGUCGGGUAAGUUCCGACCUGCACGAAUGGCGUAAUGAUGGCCAGGCUGUCUCCACCCGAGACUCAGUGAAAUUGAACUCGCUGUGAAGAUGCAGUGUACCCGCGGCAAGACGGAAAGACCCCGUGAACCUUUACUAUAGCUUGACACUGAACAUUGAGCCUUGAUGUGUAGGAUAGGUGGGAGGCUUAGAAGUGUGGACGCCAGUCUGCAUGGAGCCGACCUUGAAAUACCACCCUUUAAUGUUUGAUGUUCUAACGUUGACCCGUAAUCCGGGUUGCGGACAGUGUCUGGUGGGUAGUUUGACUGGGGCGGUCUCCUCCUAAAGAGUAACGGAGGAGCACGAAGGUUGGCUAAUCCUGGUCGGACAUCAGGAGGUUAGUGCAAUGGCAUAAGCCAGCUUGACUGCGAGCGUGACGGCGCGAGCAGGUGCGAAAGCAGGUCAUAGUGAUCCGGUGGUUCUGAAUGGAAGGGCCAUCGCUCAACGGAUAAAAGGUACUCCGGGGAUAACAGGCUGAUACCGCCCAAGAGUUCAUAUCGACGGCGGUGUUUGGCACCUCGAUGUCGGCUCAUCACAUCCUGGGGCUGAAGUAGGUCCCAAGGGUAUGGCUGUUCGCCAUUUAAAGUGGUACGCGAGCUGGGUUUAGAACGUCGUGAGACAGUUCGGUCCCUAUCUGCCGUGGGCGCUGGAGAACUGAGGGGGGCUGCUCCUAGUACGAGAGGACCGGAGUGGACGCAUCACUGGUGUUCGGGUUGUCAUGCCAAUGGCACUGCCCGGUAGCUAAAUGCGGAAGAGAUAAGUGCUGAAAGCAUCUAAGCACGAAACUUGCCCCGAGAUGAGUUCUCCCUGACUCCUUGAGAGUCCUGAAGGAACGUUGAAGACGACGACGUUGAUAGGCCGGGUGUGUAAGCGCAGCGAUGCGUUGAGCUAACCGGUACUAAUGAACCGUGAGGCUUAACCUU
rnacentral:rRNA from 1 species